rnacentral:lncRNA from 1 species
AAGUGUUGGAGCCUCUAGACUCUAGAGGGGAAUGGGAAAUCUUCAGAAGCUGAGUGCAAUAUUGUUCAUAAUUGUCAGCAUUUUACUUCUGUUCAUGACAAUAAGCUCUUCGGCAGCCAUGCUGAACCAAGGUAAUGAUGAGAGCCCAGGUUUUGAUGUUGAAUCUGAUUGUUUGCCAAUUUCAGCUGGGGGUCGCAAACUGCUACAGGAUGAUUGUGAUGUAUAUCGUCCAACAUGUGUUUAUGAGGGUGGAGAGAAGUGUUGUGAAGGAUGGAGUUGCAUACUCCAAGGAGGAGGAGCGUAUGGUCUUUGUGUCCCUCCUGAAUGAAGAUCCUAGAAAUCUGCGGGAAAUCUGCAGAUAUAAGAAGGCUCCAGUCUCCUACCUGUGAUGCCGGUUUGUGGAUUUGUAUGCUGUUUUAAUCUUCAAAAUACUCUAUUGGUCUGGAUUUGUGACAACACGGUCCAAACACACAUAAGCCACUGCUGUCAGCUCCGAGAUUAAGCUUAUGCCCAAUCCCUGCCUUUUCAAUCGCUUGCUCCGAACUAAAGACCAAAUCUACGAGGGCCCAAUGCUGCUGGUAACUGGUUUACCUCUACCGCACAUGAUCCAGACACUGAUUCGAGAGAUUGAUGUCUGCAUGAGCAAUUCCAUAAUUCUGGAUACGUGUGUGUGUACACAAUGUCAGCAAGACAAGAAAGUAUGGAGACCUAUAGACUUGCUAUAGCGCAAGAUAACAAUCACAAACCGAAAAUCGAGCGUUGCUUUGCGGAAAGCUUAUCUCCUCAAUUGGAUUGAUCAACAGCGACAGACCGGACGCCUUUUGGGGUUCAUUCCGUGCUUAAAGGCAGCAGCAUCUUCUGCUUAUGCUCCACUACCGCCAGGAAUCUUCCCCUCGCAUGAUCGCAUCAAUUUGCAAAACCAUAAAACACAUGCGUAUUCAAUGCAAAGAAAUGUCCGACUUUUCCAAGGUAGUCAUAGUUAUAGUUACAAUUGAGAGUCUAGUCAUAGUUAUAGUUACAAUUGAGAGGCUAGUCAUAGAGGCU